CAAUAGCGUAUAUUUAAGUUGUUGCAGUUAAAAAGCUCGUAGUUGGAUUUCGGGUGGGUACCGCCGGUCUCCCAUUGGGUAUGUACUGGCGUGGCCCGCCUUGCUGUCGGGGACGGCCUCCUGGGCUUAAUUGCUCGGGAAUCGGAGUCGACGAUGUUACUUUGAGUAAAUUAGAGUGUUCAAAGCAAGCCUACGCUCUGAAUAUAAUAGCAUGGGAUAACACGACAGGACUCUGGCCUAUCGUGUUGGUCUGUAGGAUCGGAGUAAUGAUUAAGAGGGACAGUCGGGGGCAUUCGUAUUUCAUUGUCAGAGGUGAAAUUCUUGGAUUUAUGAAAGACGAACUACUGCGAAAGCAUUUGCCAAGGAUGUUUUCAUUAA
rnacentral:rRNA from 1 species